CCUCCUUUCAUCCACAUUUUUCACGAUUUUUCACCCCCUUACAACUUGCUAGAUUAUUAAUAUCUCGAUGAAAAUAUUUUUCACGCGGAUAACUUCUAAGUAAAAAUAAUCGCAACGACCUCCUUCGAAGGGUUAAUCCUUUGAAGAAGAGAGAAAAAAAAAAAAAGCAGCAAGAGACAUUUUCCAAGAAAAUAUAUUCCCUUCAGAAACGAAGAAAAGAAAGCAAAGUUUCCUUCCUGCAUCGAAUCACCGCGAUUAAAAGCGAAAAUCUCAUUCGGUUACAAUUAAUUCUUCCCCAAGUUCCACUCGACAAUCCCUCUCUCUCGAAUUUAGAUUUUAUUUAAUUACACCCCUCUGAAAAGUUUGCACGGAGACAACGCCUCCCUCCCUCCCUCCCUUCCUCCUUUCCUUCUCUCCUUCCUUCCUUCCUUCCUGCCUUCCUUCUAUACCGGGACAACACCCGUGAAAUUAAGCGCGCGCGUUUUCAUUAGCGGAUCACCGAUUAAAGGAUCUCUCUCUCUCUCUCCCUCUCUCGUUUUCGCGGUUUCAUUUUUAUUCAUUAUUCCCCUCGGUUUGAAGGGGAGGGCGGAGUGGUAGCCACUCGACUCUGAUUCUCCGCGUUAAACGUUCGUUAUCGCGAUCGUCGAGCAACGUCGACACAUUCGACCCCCCUCCACGCACGACUAUACAUAUUAAUCGGGGAAUUAGCGAAACUGGUUUAAACUCUCCACCCUUCCUAUUGUAGCGCAAAAACAAAGUUGGUGAAUAUUCAUGGACGAGAAAACGAUACGGAUGCGAUAUAAUGCGGUUUUAAUUGUGGGAAACUUUUGCCCCCGAGCGAGAGAGCCAGUUUUUAUUCGAUACGACGCGGCAGCUUCCUUCCGAUUAACGCGUUCACUGAUCGAAUUUCUCUGUGUACGACAAAUACACAUUCUUUCAGGGAAUGAAUACUUUUUUGCGACGUUUCGUAAAUUCGACGAACAUAUCAAAGUGUGUCUCGAGUGUCUGUGAAUAAUUGUGACGAAUCUUUGUGUGUAAUUUACACGUGUGUAAUGUUUUGAUAAAAACAAGGUUUGAGAAUUUUCGUCGUAUAUAUAAUAACACAAUUUUUGCAUGGGAAUUAACCUUCAUCUUAUUCGAGAUUUAUUAAAAAUAAGUAUAUUGAAAAAUAUAUUAUAUUCUUAUAUAUGGAGAUUAUCUUUGUACGAUUGUAAUUUUGUUAAAAAUGAGAUACGUUGAAAAUAUAAUAGAAACGCCAUCUAUCGCGAUAGAAGAGAAACGAGAGACGUAAUAUAGUUGGUGUUGCUUUAACGAAAUAAAUUCGAACGAUA